rnacentral:tRNA from 1 species
GGAGAGAUGGCCGAGAGGUUUAAAGCGUCAGAUUGCUAAUCCGUUGUACAACUUUCAUGUACCGAGGGUUCGAAUCCCUCUCUCUCCU